UACGAAGGGGGCUAGCGUUGUUCGGAAUUACUGGGCGUAAAGCGCGCGCAGGCGGUCUUCCAAGUCAGUGGUGAAAGCCUGGAGCUCAACUCCAGAACUGCCAUUGAAACUGUUAGACUUGAGUACGAGAGAGGUGAGUGGAAUUCCCAGUGUAGCGGUGAAAUGCGUAGAUAUUGGGAGGAACACCAGUGGCGAAGGCGGCUCACUGGACCGGAACUGACGCUGAGGCACGAAAGCGUGGGGAGCAAACAGG
rnacentral:rRNA from 1 species